AUUGAACGCUGGCGGCAGGCUUAACACAUGCAAGUCGAGCGGAGCGAGGGUGCUUGCACCUUAGCUUAGCGGCGGACGGGUGAGUAAUGCUUAGGAAUCUGCCUAUUAGUGGGGGACAACAUUCCGAAAGGAAUGCUAAUACCGCAUACGCCCUACGGGGGAAAGCAGGGGAUCUUCGGACCUUGCGCUAAUAGAUGAGCCUAAGUCGGAUUAGCUAGUUGGUGGGGUAAAGGCCUACCAAGGCGACGAUCUGUAGCGGGUCUGAGAGGAUGAUCCGCCACACUGGGACUGGAACACGGCCCAGACUCCUACGGGAGGCAGCAGUGGGGAAUAUUGGACAAUGGGCGGAAGCCUGAUCCAGCCAUGCCGCGUGUGUGAAGAAGGCCUUUUGGUUGUAAAGCACUUUAAGCGAGGAGGAGGCUCUUAAGGUUAAUACCCUUGAUGAGUGGACGUUACUCGCAGAAUAAGCACCGGCUAACUCUGUGCCAGCCGCCGCGGUAA
rnacentral:rRNA from 1 species